rnacentral:lncRNA from 1 species
UAGAGGAUCUAUAUAUCCAUAUUAUUAUUUACUAACAAUAUCCAAGCGCACUCCAGCCCAAAAAAAUAGAGGAAAAGUAUAAACAUGCAGCCAUAACCGUGACAAAUGAUUAACUUGCUUUUAGCUGUUUAAUAUCAUUAAUCCUUUCUUUGCUUUGUGUAAUUAGAAUAAAUGUUAACAUGCAAAUUAAAAUAAAGCUAUAUACCAUUUUGCUGGGUAUUGAGGUAAAAAAAAAAGGAACAUAAAUAACUAAAUAAUUCUUUGUCAG